GCACCAGAAGUAGAGCAGAGGACUGAAAAUCCUCGUGUCGCUGGUUCGAUUCCGGCUCUGGGCA
rnacentral:tRNA from 1 species